GAUGAACGCUGGCGGCGUGCCUAAUACAUGCAAGUCGAGCGAACGGACGAGAAGCUUGCUUCUCUGAUGUUAGCGGCGGACGGGUGAGUAACACGUGGAUAACCUACCUAUAAGACUGGGAUAACUUCGGGAAACCGGAGCUAAUACCGGAUAAUAUUUUGAACCGCAUGGUUCAAAAGUGAAAGACGGUCUUGCUGUCACUUAUAGAUGGAUCCGCGCUGCAUUAGCUAGUUGGUAAGUUAACGGCUUACCAAGGCAACGAUGCAUAGCCGACCUGAGAGGGUGAUCGGCCACACUGGAACUGAGACACGGUCCAGACUCCUACGGGAGGCAGCAGUAGGGAAUCUUCCGCAAUGGGCGAAAGCCUGACGGAGCAACGCCGCGUGAGUGAUGAAGGUCUUCGGAUCGUAAAACUCUGUUAUUAGGGAAGAACAUAUGUGUAAGUAACUGUGCACAUCUUGACGGUACCUAAUCAGAAAGCCACGGCUAACUACGU
rnacentral:rRNA from 1 species